AUUCAUCCACCAAUUUCAUUUCAUCCUGCCCAGGUUCUCUGCUCACUUCCUUCCCAGCGUUGCGGUCGGAUCAUUAUAGCUCCAGGAUCUGCUGUAGACUGCCCUCUCUCCAGUACUCAGUAUGUGACUACUAAUCAUUAGAGGGUGUGCUGCUGGAUGUUGCCAGGCAAGCAUACUAAAAGAUAUCAUUUCUUGGGUAUCCAGCUGUUUCCUGGAGCCUUUGCAAAUCAAUUCGGCAUGAAGGGAAAAACAAGUCAACCAAAGAAGCUGCCUUAAAAAUUGUGACAUCAAGCCAGGUCCAGUGGCUCUUGCCUAUAAUACCAGCACUUGGAAAGCUGAGGCAGGAGGAUGGCUGUGAGUCUGAGACCAGCUUGAGCUACAAGUGAGACUGUUUCAAAAAACAAAAAAAUGAAAACAAAAACAGAAAGAAAAAAGAAUAACUAUGA